rnacentral:rRNA from 1 species
CUUGGUGUGAAUUGCAGAAUCCCGUGAACCAUCGAGUUUUUGAACGCAAGUUGCGCCCGAAGCCUUCUGGCCAGGGCACGUCUGCCUGGGCGUCAC